AGAGUUUGAUCCUGGCUCAGGACGAACGCUGGCGGCGUGCCUAACACAUGCAAGUCGAGCGGGGACACUGGAGGAGCUUGCUUCACUGGUGUUCUAGCGGCGGACGGGUGAGUAACGCGUGAACAAUCUGUCCCGGACAGGGGGAUAACACUUGGAAACAGGUGCUAAUACCGCAUAAGCCCACGGUACCGCAUGGUAGAGCGGGAAAAGGAGGAAUCCGGUUUGGGGUGAGUUCGCGUCCGAUUAGAUAGUUGGUGAGGUAACGGCCCACCAAGUCAACGAUCGGUAGCCGACCUGAGAGGGUGAUCGGCCACAUUGGAACUGAGACACGGUCCAAACUCCUACGGGAGGCAGCAGUGGGGAAUAUUGGGCAAUGGGCGAAAGCCUGACCCAGCAACGCCGCGUGAGGGAAGAAGGUUUUCGGAUUGUAAACCUCUGUCCUCAGGGACGAAGGAAGUGACGGUACCUGAGGAGGAAGCCCCGGCUAACUACGUGCC
rnacentral:rRNA from 1 species